GAGGGGCGCGCUCCCCGGCCCGCCUCAGAGCCGCUUUUGCGGCGGCCCCCGGUGCGGAGGGGAGCAGGCUCUGCUCCUGCAGGGCUGCCCUGUGACCACCAACAGCCCCCACGCUGUGUGCAACCAUGAACGGGAACCCUCGGACUGAAGGUUCAGCAUGAUGCAGUCCAUCCUGAAACCUUAAAUGCUGCAACAUUUACAUAUUUCCUGUGUUGAGAGAGGCUGCAAAUACCCAUGGCAUAGAUGAAAACAUGAAUCGGCCAACAUGUGGUGCUGCUUCCUCCCGUGCAAAUAGAAGGCGCUGCCAGCACCCUGUCACCAUCCACACCAGUACAACUCAGAACCUUGAAGCCCUGGACCAGUUUAAUUAUUGCAAGGCAGAAAGCUCAAAUAAAGUGUUUCUACAGCUGAGGGAGGAAAUUUCACAAUGCAGGUGAAAGCUCUGAUUAAGUCACAACCUCCACAUCAAAGCUGGCAAUUUGGAAUUCAAACCUGGAUCUAUGUUAAACUUCUGCUCUCUUUUCUACCACUGGAAUAGGAGGAAUAAUAUGUGGAAACAUAUUUGGCAGCCCAACAGAUUGUAUUCCAGUUCAAUGAUGGGUAUGAUUUCAUAGGAGCCAACUGCAUGAAGUACAGCAUAAUUGCUUCCCUGAAGACUCCAGAUCUUUGUGGAGAACAAGAAUACAGCACAUGCAACUCACAGUGCCAGUUUCACAGCCCGCCAUUAGACAACACACCUGAUUUUCAGCCGGUCAUUCUCUGAGUAAAGACGAAGGACAUGUUCCCUCUCCUGGAAGAGGUAGACUUGCAUGUCACUCAAAGCUUUUUGCAACUCCACGAUCUCUUCUUCUCGCUGACGCACUUCCCACUGCAAUUUGUGCUAUACAGAAAGAAUGGAGCAAUUGAAAUGACACUAAGCAUCAGGCAACACUGGCAAACAGACUGCAUGUGCCAAGGAAGACCCUGAGCCUGUAAUCAGUUUUAACAAUUGCCAGUUCAAGUGAAUUAUUUUAUACUUCUACAAAACAUUUGACCAGAUGAGGGCAGUAUUGGAAAAUUAUUAAAAAGGUUUCAACAGCAAGCUCAGUGCAUUGAGCACAGUGUCACUAUACAGUAUCAGUUCAAGUAGAGCAACUUAUGCCUGUAGUUUCUAGUCAUUGCACCAUCAGUCAGUGGAGUGCGGGUAUGAGGAGUCCAACUUAAACAAAAACCUAGCAAAGCUCCUAUAAUAACACUUAUUCUAAAAAAAAUUAUGGAAGAACAUAUAUUAAUACAUUUGCAUGGCUUAGUAGUAAGAGAUUUGGCUGGUUAUGAAUUUUCAUUAAUGAUUUUCUCCCUGUUUGGGAAAACUAAUACAGCCCUCUGAAGAGCAUUCCAUAUAGGACAAAUGGCAUUAUUUGGGAAGCCAUCCCCUCUUUUCCCAUAUGUUCAGUGAAAGCAUUUGGAAGCCUUGAAUAUACCAAGGACUUUCAGGCUCCUUCAGCGAUGGUAAGCACUUGAGGAGGCACACAAAAGAAAAAAAAAAAAAUCAUUCUUUCCCCAAAGGGUCAUUCACAAUUGCAAAGAGGACCACUAGACAGAGGCUAUAAGGCAUAUCAGAAGGCAAACACUAAGAUUUUCCUCUUCAUUAAAUUUGGUCAAUAGAGCACUCAUUAUUCACUGAGACAUAAGGGAGAAGUUUGACAUCUAAACUCAGGUUUCAGUUUAAACAACGAACAAUCCAGUAUGAAGACAUAACCCAAAUACAAUAAUUUCAAAGUGGAACAAUACCUUACAAUCAGGUUUUUCCUUUUGCUUUAUGACAGAAGACAAAAACAACUAGAACUCAGAACUAAAGCCUGAGAUUUAGCUAUUUCUUCUUAGCUUAGUUCUAUCAUGUUACUGGAAAAAAUUCAAUAUCUGUGUUGAAUUUUUAACUGAAGAAGAAUAUUAAUUCUUCACCAAUGAAGUUUAUGCAAGUAUACGUAGUCUAUCACCACUCAAAUACUCUUUUCCUAACCUGCUCAUCAUACGAUUCUUUGUAUCUCUCCAGCCUUUUUAUCAGAUCUUCAUGUUCUUCAUCAAAUUCAGCUAUCUUCUUGCGAUAGUAUUCCAACAGUUCCCGGGAUGGGCAGAGGAAAGCAAGGCGCUCAUUGAUUGAAGGAAGAGGAGUAAAGUCCCCCUGACUUGGAGAUGGAGAUCUAGUAUAUCUGGAAAAGAGAUGAGAAGUUGCCAACGUGGACAAAGACAUUGUCUACUGUCACGUAAACUCCAGACAAUAAAAUAUAACAACUUUUUAAAAUAGUUAAAAAUAUGACAACACAGAGAUUAUUUAAUGCAAAUUUUAAACACAGGUUAGUAUGUCUGGGCUCCAAAUAUGAACAGAAAAUCACAGCAUUUAUGAGAUAUAAAAGCUUUGAUAUAAAACAGUUUGCAGACUUACUAUACUGUGGAGAAAGGGCCUACUGCUGGAAAAGCAGGGAGGAAAAAAUGUUAGGGAAGAAAAGUCUCUUGGAUUAUUUGAAGAGGGUGAACUUGAAAGGAAGAGGAGAUAGAAAAGGAGGAGAGAUGAAUGAGAUAAAGUCCAUUGUCUGGCAACUGGAAGAAGCAGACACUGCAAGAUAAACAAGAAGAUACAAACUCUAACAAAGAGUCACUAUCUGUCUUAUACCCAAUGAAACCAGAAAAAGACAUUUUAUCACAGAACAGUUGAGGUUGGAAGGGACCUCUGAGACCUACUUAAGCAGGGCCACCUACAGUAUGUUGCACAGGACUGUUUCCAGACAACUUUUGAACAUCUCCAAGGAUGGAGACUUCACAAUCUCUCUGGGCAACCUGUUCCAGUGCUCUAUUACCCUCACAAUAAAGAAGUUUUUCCUUGUGUUCAGACAGAA